rnacentral:lncRNA from 1 species
GUUGAGGUACUGCAUGAGGAACUGCAGGAGGCAAUGUCUGUGGGACUGGCUGGGGUACAGUCUGCACAGGUGUAGCAGAAGGAGCAGAGGUUGAAACACUGACUGAUGGUGUGGCAACUGAAACACCCGAACUUGGGGUCUGGUCUUGUGUAGUAGGUGUGGAAUUUGUCUGUGAAACCGACGUGGCCGUGGUUGUGGUAGAGGUUGUGGAGGACUGAGUGCUUGAGGAGGUUGAUGGCGAUGCGGCUGCCGCGGCACUGCUGGUUGUUGGUGUGGAGGCACCAACCUGGGCCUGGGCUGCCAGCAUUGGUGUCAGCUCCGACUGCUGGAUGACUUUCACCCCGUCUGGCUUAGUCCACGCUGACUCACGCGUACGUGCAUUGUAGAAAUAGACCUUGCCAUCCGGAGUUUUGUUCUCUACCCAUAUCUCCUCAGCUGGGGGCAUUGCUGGCGUCCCAGGCGCAGUAACGGGCGGCAUUCCUGGAGGGAACAUCAUUCCGGGAGGUGGUGGCAUGCUGCCCAUGGGAGGAGGCAUAAAUGGUGGUCUCUGCAGGUGAGGGGGUCCCAUCGGCGGAGGGAUCCCUCCUGGGGGCGGCAUUGGAGGCAUGUUGGGGUCGAAGGGAGGGCGCCCGAAGGGGGGGCGCGGCGGCGGCGGGGGGCCCCGCAUCAUCCCGAAGGGCGGCGGAGGGCGCAUCAGCGGAGGGGGGCCGCGCAUCACCGCGUUCGGGGGCGGCGCCGGGCCGCGGAACCGCAGCGCCUGCUGCUGGGCCAUCCUGAGCUCGCCGCCGAACCGCUCCGCCGCCGCCUCCCCCUCGCCGCCGCCAGCCCCCGCGCCGCCACCGCCGCCCCGUUCCGCCAUCGCCACCUCGCAGCGCCGCCGAGCCGCUGCCGCCCCGGCCAGGC